rnacentral:rRNA from 1 species
UACGGGGGGAGCAAGCGUUGUUCGGAUUUACUGGGCGUAAAGGGCGCGUAGGCGGUCGUGACAAGUCACUUGUGAAAUCUCCGGGCUUAACUCGGAACGGUCAAGUGAUACUGUCGGACUAGAGUACAGAAGGGGCAACUGGAAUUCUCGGUGUAGCGGUGAAAAUGCGUAGAUAUCGAGAGGAACACCUGCGGCGAAGGCGGGUUGCUGGGCUGAUACUGACGCUGAGGCGCGAAAGCCAGGGGAGGCGAAUGGG